rnacentral:rRNA from 5 species
CUGACCUCAAAUCAGGUAGGACUACCCGCUGAACUU